GACGUAGGGGGCAAGCGUUGUCCGGAAUCAUUGGGCGUAAAGAGCGUGUAGGCGGCCCGGUAAGUCCGCUGUGAAAGUCCAGGGCUCAACCCUGGGAUGCCGGUGGAUACUGUCGGGCUCGAGUCCGGAAGAGGAGUGUGGAAUUCCUGGUGUAGCGGUGAAAUGCGCAGAUAUCAUGAGGAACACCAAUGGCGAAGGCAGCACUCUGGGACGUGACUGACGCUGAGACGCGAAAGCGUGGGGAGCAAACAGG
rnacentral:rRNA from 1 species